rnacentral:tRNA from 1 species
GGGCCCAUAGCUCAGUUGGUUAGAGCAUCUGACUCAUAAUCAGAGGGUCGCAGGUUCGAGCCCUGCUGGGCCCACUA